rnacentral:rRNA from 1 species
AUACGUAGGGUGCGAGCGUUGUCCGGAAUUACUGGGCGUAAAGAGCUCGUAGGUGGUUUGUCGCGUCGUCUGUGAAAUUCCGGGGCUUAACUCCGGGCGUGCAGGCGAUACGGGCAUAACUUGAGUACUGUAGGGGAGACUGGAAUUCCUGGUGUAGCGGUGAAAUGGGCAGAUAUCAGGAGGAACACCGGUGGCGAAGGCGGGUCUCUGGGCAGUAACUGUCGCUGAGGAGCGAAAGCAUGGGUAGCGAACAGGAUUAGAUACCCUGGUAGUCCAUGCCGUAAACGGUGGGCGCUAGGUGUAGGGGUCUUCCACGACUUCUGUGCCGUAGCUAACGCAUUAAGCGCCCCGCCUGGGGAGUACGGCCGCAAGGCUAAAACUCAAAUGAAUUGACGGGG